UGCCUUAGUAGCGGCGAGUGAAGCGGCAAAAGCUCAAAUUUGAAAUCUGGCGCCUUCGGUGUCCGAGUUGUAAUUUGAAGAUUGUAACCUUGGGGUUGGCUCUUGUCUAUGUUUCUUGGAACAGGACGUCACAGAGGGUGAGAAUCCCGUGCGAUGAGAUGCCCAAUUCUAUGUAAGGUGCUUUCGAAGAGUCGAGUUGUUUGGGAAUGCAGCUCUAAGUGGGUGGUAAAUUCCAUCUAAAGCUAAAUAUUGGCGAGAGACCGAUAGCGAACAAGUACAGUGAUGGAAAGAUGAAAAGAACUUUGAAAAGAGAGUGAAAAAGUACGUGAAAUUGUUGAAAGGGAAGGGUUUGAGAUCAGACUCGAUAUUUUGUGAGCCUUGCCUUCGUGGCGGGGUGACCCGCAGCUUAUCGGGCCAGCAUCGGUUUGGGCGGUAGGAUAAUGGCGUAGGAAUGUGACUUUACUUCGGUGAAGUGUUAUAGCCUGCGUUGAUGCUGCCUGCCUAGACCGAGGACUGCGAUUUUAUCAAGGAUGCU
rnacentral:rRNA from 1 species